GACGAACGCUGGCGGCGUGCUUAACACAUGCAAGUCGAGCGGAAAGGCCCCUUCGGGGGUACUCGAGCGGCGAACGGGUGAGUAACACGUGAGCAACCUGCCCUUCACUCCGGGAUAAGCCCGGGAAACUGGGUCUAAUACCGGAUACGACUUCGAUCGGCAUCGAUUGAGGUGGAAAGAUUUAUCGGUGAAGGAUGGGCUCGCGGCCUAUCAGCUUGUUGGUGGGGUAAUGGCCCACCAAGGCUUCUACGGGUAGCCGGCCUGAGAGGGCGACCGGCCACACUGGGACUGAGACACGGCCCAGACUCCUACGGGAGGCAGCAGUGGGAAUAUUGCGCAAUGGGCGAAAGCCUGACGCAGCAACGCCGCGUGAGGGAUGACGGCCU
rnacentral:rRNA from 1 species